GCUGGUUUCUCUUCAGUGUUUCCCAUACAAACAGGUUCUCAUUGCUCAUGCGCAAGAGAGAGAAAAAUCAUCUGAUAUAUUUUAUUAAUAUUUAAAGGAAACAAAAGACAGAAGGAAACACAGAGACUGAACACUAUGCUACGCCCGGAGUUGCGCUUCCUCGCAGAGUCGCGACGCCUCAGUCUCCCUCUGCCAGAUAACUACUGUUCUCGCCAGUUUUACCAAUAAAAUAAUUGAGGUUU